AGAGCCCCAUUCAUACUGGAUAAAUUUUAGUCGCAUCCGGUCCGUCAAAUGUCUUAUGAUCUAUAGAGCCCUUUUGAUUUUUCUAUGGCAACAUUUGCUAUGCUGACGUCAUUGCCACGUCAUUACUGUCAGUCAGACAGAAAUAAAAGAAAAAUGGAUGCCGUUCAGACGUACACGCAUUAUUUGGAACUGAAAAUUACGUAAUUUAUCGACCUGCUGGCUUGUAUUUGUUAUAAAUCAUAAAAAACCUGUGACGCCAGUGGAACUACGUGGUUUUCUUUCGUGAUGAUUUGAUGAUACCUCAAUGGAAUUGAGCCAAGUUUUCGCCGUAUUGGGUGCUAGAUGCCCCUUGGAGUUAAGCCCCAGUGCCACUAUACUACCUUACCAGUUAUGUGUGGGUGUUGUAGUCCUAAGACACCCCGGAGGUACAAAGGACCUUCACAAACUCACGCCACGCC